UACGAAGGGGCUAGCGUUGCUCGGAAUCACUGGCGUAAAGGGUGCGUAGGCGGGUUAUUAAGUCAGAGGUGAAAUCCUGGAGCUCAACUCCAGAACUGCCUUGAUACUGAUAGUCUUGAGUAUGGAGAGGUGAGUGGAACUGCGAGUGUAGAGGUGAAAUUCGUAGAUAUUCGCAGAACACCAGUGGCGAAGGCGGCUCAC
rnacentral:rRNA from 1 species